CUUCUUUGAUUAAUUGAAUUAAUUUGAAAAAGUUGUCCUUCAUGGAAGGGGCGGGUGGUGGAGGGUCCAAAAAAAAAUAAAAAAAAUAAAAAAAUGUUAUAAAAACACCUACAAAAAUGUUUUGUAGGUGUUUUUAUUACGUUUUAUACAUUUUGUACAACAUCAACAAAUUCAUCAUCUUCAUUAUCCCCCACGUUGCUCCACCUCCUUGUGGGAAGAGCCAGGCGAGGCCACAGAGCAGACUCCUCCAUCUCAUCCCACCAACUCUGUCAGUCCACCAGGCCCCACAAUGCAGCCUCCACACCACUGCAGUAACAGCCACAUCUUCCCAUCACAAAGCCUCAGUACUAUCUCAAUGUGUUGGAUGGCCUCCAGAGAGAGCACACCUGGCAGCAUGGAGCACUUUGAUGUGAUUGGCUGUUCAGCAGGAAGUUUCAUCUGGCUAAACAGAAGGGAUGAUGAAUCUGACAGAGAAUGUUUUGUAUAUUAAAAAAAAGAUGAAACGUACAGAAUGACUUGAUUGGUCAUUUAAUAACACACAAAACAGUUUUUUUUUAAAUACAUGGAAUAAUUUUAUUUGAUUAGAGUUCCUCUGUCCAGUGUCUGUGUUCUUUUUCCCAUCUUAAUCUUUUCUUUUUAUUGGCCAGUCUGAGAUAUGGCUUUUUCUUUGCUAAUCUGCCUAGAAGGCCAAUUUGAAAUGUCUAAGGGACCCCAAACUUUUAAACGGUAGUGUACACUACCAGUCAAAUGUUUGGA